ensembl:snRNA U6 U6 spliceosomal RNA
GUGCUCAGCUUUGGCAGCACAUAUACUAAAAUAGAAACAAUACAGAGAAGAUUAGCAUGGCCCCUGUGUGAGGAUGAAAUGCACAUUUGUGAAGCGUUCCAUAUUUUA